AAAGAGAGACAAAAGUCGCUCACCCCCCUCGCCCCCCCCGCUCUCGUCCUUCCGCGGUCCGGGCAGGGAUUUCUGUGGAGUUUGGAGGGGACAUGUCUAAGAAUGCUGCAAGUUCACCUAGGACAGGAGCAAAUAAUUAAGAUGCUGGCUAGCCAAGCCUGUGUUCUGUUUGGACACUGAGAUCUUUCUGAAGAAGGCAAUGAUGUGCCAUCUCCUGACAGCUCACAUCUGGAACUUCUAAACUGGAAAAAGUAGUUCUGGAGAGUCCUACUGCUGUUAAGUUAGGCUAUGGAAAAGCUUGUGAUAGAGUCAAGGGAUAUUUUUAGCAAUUCUUGAGAUUUUGUGUGAUGAAACAGUUGUGGUGAGAGCAGGAAAGAAAAUGGGAACGAUGUCCCACAAAGUAUUGUUCAGUACAAUUGUUUGUUAGGAGCUUAUGGGCCAACAAUUCUUCUGGUUUCUUCUCUCUUGGAAAAAUUGGAAUGUGGAACUUAGCAGUGUCUCAUCUUUGUGGUUUCUGUUUACUAAGGAUUGAAAAUAUCUGUUAAGCCACAAAAUUCUGCUGAGAAGCUCCAAAGAGUGUAAGGAAUGGGUGAUGGGCUGGUAAGGGUGCUGAGGGUCUAUGUAAUAAACAAGAUUUUUAAUUUAGCUGUUUUUUCUUUUAUUCUUGCUUGACUCACGCUUUGCCUGCCAGCACAGACAGAUGUAAGGUGUCAUUUUGUACUGAUGUUAAAUCCGUGGGCGACUUUUGCAAGGAUGCCAAUAAAUUGACACAUGCUUGAUUUAAA